GACAGAGGGGGCAAGCGUUGCUCGGAAUUACUGGGCGUAAAGCGUGCGCAGGCGGUUAUGCAAGACAGAUGUGAAAUCCCCGGGCUCAACCUGGGAACUGCAUUUGUGACUGCAUGGCUAGAGUGCGGCAGAGGGGGAUGGAAUUCCGCGUGUAACAGUGAAAUGCGUAGAUAUUGGGAGGAACACCAGUGGCGAAGGCGGCUCACUGGACCGGUUCUGACGCUGAGGCGCGAAAGCGUGGGGAGCAAACGGG
rnacentral:rRNA from 1 species